rnacentral:rRNA from 1 species
AGUGAACGCUGGCGGCAGGCCUAACACAUGCAAGUCGAGCGGCAGCGGGGUCCCCGCGAGGGGAUGCCGGCGAGCGGCGGACGGGUGAGGAACACAUCGGAAUCUGCCUGGUUGUGGGGGAUAACGUAGGGAAACUUACGCUAAUACCGCAUGCGACCCUGAGUCGACGGACUUGGGGUGAAAGUGAGGGACCUUCGGGCCUCACGCGACCAGAUGAGCCGAUGUCGGAUAGCUAGUUGGCGGGGUAACGGCCCGCCAAGGCGACGAUCCGUAGCUGGUCUGAGAGGAUGAUCAGCCACACUGGGACUGAGACACGGCCCAGACUCCUACGGGAGGCAGCAGU